CCGCACGAUGCCUCCCGGGCUUCUCUGAGAUUCAUUCCCAUGACGCGAAAGCCCCAAUGCACGUGCCAAAUUGCUGCUGUUCGUGUUGCAGUUCAGCCCCUAAAUUCCUUCAUGGCUGAUCUGUGUCAAAACAACGGCGAAAUCU